rfam:Neotoma lepida isolate 417 scaffold_56, whole genome shotgun sequence.
GGGGAGGUGGCUCAGAGGUUAAGAGCACUGACUGUUGUUCUUCCAGAGGUCCUGAGUUCAAUUCCCAGCAACCACA